GGAAGGGUAGCUCAGUGGUAGAGCGUCUCCGACGCGGAGUACGGCUUCGCGUGGUUCGACUCCCGCCCCUUCCA
rnacentral:tRNA from 1 species